GAAAAGAACUUCUUGAUAGUAACCUGCAAUCUAUUCUCAGAGGAAGGAACAAAGGGAUACAAUAACAAUGAGAUGCCAAUACUAUAUGCUGUAAGUACAACUUAUCUACAAAUUCCCUCAAGUACGACAAGCUAUUUAGAAACAAGUUACGUAACCAUCCAUGACUUUAAUAGCACUAAAGUAAGAAACUAAUUAGCAAUACCAUCCUCCUAUUGCAUGCAUCAUUAAAAAAUCUUUUUGUCUUGAAGAAACUUCACGCUUUGCCAGAUAAAUGUUCAUCGCCAUCUUUUAACUUCUCUUCUGGGACAUCAGUUGGCAAUUUAGA
rnacentral:misc_RNA from 1 species